AUAAAAAGGGUAUUUUUUAUUUAUAUAUGAGAACUUAUAUUUGGAUUUGAAACUCAAAUUUAAAAAGGCUAAAUUACAGAAAAUUUUCCUGUCAAAAUCCGAUUUUUCACUCCCCCCUAUUAUUUAAAAACAUACACUUUGUCCUCUUGUAAAAUAUAAAAUGUAAAAUGAAAAAUGUUCACAGGGGGUACGGUGUGAAUUGUGAUGAUAAAAUGACCAUUUUGCCCCUCACCAUUUUGCCCUUCACUAUGUUCACAGGAGAGAAGAUUAAGGGCAUUUUUGGCAUAAAAAAGUAUAUAAUAAUAUUUUAUAAACGGAAUCCUAACGGAUUACUAACAGCAGAGGGCGAAGUGAACAUUUUCAUUUUACAAGGGGGUAAAGUGUAGGUUUUUAAAUGAUGGGGAGGAAAGUGAAAAAUUGGGUUUUGAUAGGAGGGUUUUAUGUAAUUUAGCCAUUUAAAAAUGUGAUUUCGGG
rnacentral:lncRNA from 1 species